ACGGACGCCCCGAGUCCCUCGGCAUCAUGGCGCUUUGGCGGCCGGCGCUCCUGCUCCUCCUGCUCCGCUACAGAGUCCUGGCUAUAGAACUGAUCUCGAAAAAUAUCAAUCCGGUGGUGGAAGAAUUUCGACAAGCCGAACUCUCCUGCAUUAUUGCUGCCACCAAAACAGCGAACCCUAGGAUCGAAUGGAAGAAAAUCGGCAGCCAAGGAACAACCUACGUGUAUUUUGACGGCAAAGUGCAA